UGGGGAAUUUUGGACAAUGGGCGAAAGCCUGAUCCAGCAAUGCCGCGUGCAGGAUGAAGGCCUUCGGGUUGUAAACUGCUUUUGUACGGAACGAAAAAGCUCCUUCUAAUACAGGGGGCCCAUGACGGUACCGUAAGAAUAAGCACCGGCUAACUACGUGCCAGCAGCCGCGGUAAUACGUAGGGUGCGAGCGUUAAUCGGAAUUACUGGGCGUAAAGCGUGCGCAGGCGGUUAUGUAAGACAGAUGUGAAAUCCCCGGGCUCAACCUGGGAACUGCAUUUGUGACUGCAUGGCUAGAGUACGGUAGAGGGGGAUGGAAUUCCGCGUGUAGCAGUGAAAUGCGUAGAUAUGCGGAGGAACACCGAUGGCGAAGGCAAUCCCCUGGACCUGUACUGACGCUCAUGCACGAAAGCGUGGGGAGCAAACAGGAUUAGAUACCCCCGUAGUCCCUGAGCGGGCUGGCAAGGCGCAU
rnacentral:rRNA from 1 species